rnacentral:rRNA from 1 species
GAUUAACGCUGGCGGCGUGCAUAACACAUGCCAGUCGAACGAUGAAACUUAAAUGAUUUCUUCGGAAUGAACUUAAGUGGAUUAGUGGCGGACGGGUGAGUAACGCGUGAGUAACCUGCCUUACACAAGGGGAUAGCCGUUGGAAACGACGAAUAAUACCCUAUGAAACUAUCACUUCGCAUGAAGCGAUAGUCAAAGUGUUAGCGGUGUAAGAUGGACUUGCGUCUGAUUAGCUAGUUGGUGAGAAAAAAGCCCACCAAGGCAACGAUCAGUAGCCGGCUUGAGAGAGUGUACGGCCACAUUGGGACUGAGACACGGCCCAGACUCCUAAGGGAGGCAGCAGUGGGGAAUUUUGCACAAUGGGGGAAACCCUGAUGCAGCGACGCCGCGUGAUUUAGAAGGCCUUCGGGUUGUAAAAAUCUUUUGUAUAGGAAGAAAAUGACAGUACUAUACGAAUAAGGUCCGGCUAAUUACGUG